AGGUAGUAAUAAAUUAAUAAAACCUCUUUACACUGGCGGCAUUCAACCUUAUUAGAGGAACUUGUUUCAUAAUCGAAAACUCACGAUAAUUUAUACUUUUUUAAAAAAUUUAUAUACCGCCAUUUAAAGAAUUAAUUUAAAAAUAAAAUUCUUAAUAAAAAUUAAAAAGUAAGGUCAAGGUGUAGUCUAUAUUAAAGAGUAAAAUGAGUUACUUUAAAUAUUAUUUAAGGAAAAUGUAACAAAUAAUAUUAAAAAAAAGGAUUUAAUAUUAAUAUAUUUAUAUAAUAAUAUUAUUAUAUGAAUAAAAUAAUAAAUGUGU
rnacentral:rRNA from 1 species